UCAACAAUACACAGAGGUCACCGCCCUACUAAAGCAAUGGACAACACUUGUGUCUUAAAGACAAGUAGGAAUUAUCCGGGGUAAAGUUAUUGGAGGAAGGAGCCAGGAAAUGGAUAACAGGCAGAGGAAACAGCACAUUUGAAAGCCCAAGGCACUGCUCUGAGUGCCAGGAAUGAAGCUAUGACAGCUGAAACCAGAGGAGAGCUCCGAAUCAUGAUGUGAACUUGAGAACAGAGGCAAGGAAUGGUGAAGCAACAAGAAAGAUAGCAGCAGUAGGAGUUCUGGAACAGUAGAAUCCCGUUCUAAACCUAUUUUAUCUACAAAGAUUUUUCCAUGAAAAAAAAUACAUUUCUACAUUUUAAAA